CAGCACGUCCUUCAUGGACGGCCUCCGUGAAGGCAAAGACUCCGUGCAGCGAAGCCCCAAUUUGAACACCGUGGUUAUGUCGUCCAUCUGCGGCGAGUCUUUUAUGGCCGGGUCUACCGCGUCGCGCAGGUUUGCUCCCUCUUGGAUCUGCUUCCAGGCCCACUCUGCCAGGUUACAUUGCUCCCCCUCAUUGUUUGCCCGUCUUCCUGUGGUCAGCUCCAGAAGAACAACCCCGAAGCUGUACACAUCCACUUUCUCGUUCAGUCUCCUGGAAUACCCGCACUCUGCGUACGAAAACAACAUUAGCAGUCAUUCGAUGCUUUGAAUCAUGGAUGGAGACCGAGUUCGAGGGGGCCUUUGUUC
rnacentral:lncRNA from 1 species